rnacentral:ncRNA from 1 species
CGAAAAUUAGGGUUUACGACCUCGAUGUUGGAUCAGGACACCCAAAUGGUGCAACUGCUAUUAAAGGUUCGUUUGUUCAAAGAUUAAAGUCCUACGUGAUCUGAGUUCAGACCGGAGAAAUCCAGGUCGGUUUCUAUCUGUAAAUUCAUUUCUCCCAGUAAGAAAGGACAAGAGAAAUAGGGCCAACGUCCCCAAUAAGCCCUAGAGCCAACAUAUGAGCCAAUCUAAAUAUACUAAAUCAAUUUAUGUGCCCCCAAGAAUAGGGUUGUUAAGAUGGCAGAGUUGGUAAUUGCAUAAAGUUUAAGUCUU